GCAAUAUAAGGGCGUACGGUGGAUGCCUAGACACUAUUCAACGAAGAAGGACGUCGCAGGGUGCGAUAAGCCUCGGGGAGGUCCCAAGCAACCUUUGAUCCGGGGAUUUCCGAAUGGGGGAACCCAUGUCGCGUAAUGGUGACAUACUGUACAGUGAAUACAUAGCUGUAUGGAGAAGACCUGGUGAAGUGAAACAUCUCAGUAGCCAGAGGAAUAAAAAGAAAAAAAAGUUCCGAUUUAUCGGAAUUCGAUUCCCUUAGUAGUGGCGAACGAACGGGGAACAGCCCAAACCAAUACAUUUUAGUACUACCUUAGUAUGAAUCCUAAAGAUUCAUGAUGAGGGUAGUACUUGCUACGGGUACAAGCCUUAAUAAUGUAUCGGGGUUGUAGGAUGAACAUUAGGACCUCUUGUAAGGGUCAAUGCAAAAAACGUCUUGUAUAGUCGAAGACUCCUGGAACGGAGCACCAUAGCGGGUGAUAGUCCCGUAGACGAAAUACGGCUUUAAUUGUAUAGGUUUAUCCUGAGUACGGCGGAGCACGUGAAACUCCGUCGGAAUCCGCCAGGACUAUCUGGUAAGGCUAAAUAUGAAUAGUGAUCGAUAGUGAACAAGUACCGUGAGGGAAAGGUGAAAAGCAGCCCGGAGAGGGCGAUGAAAUAGUCUCUGAAACCGUAUGUCUACAAAGAGCUGAAGUCCUAACUAUAUAUCUUCGGAUAUAUGGGGGACAACAGUAUUCCUAUUGAAGAAUGAGCCUGCGAGUAUGCUAUGUGUGGCAAGGUUAAGGGCCUUUGGUCCGAAGCCGUAGGGAAACCGAGUCUUAACCGGCGUUAAGUCGCACAUACAUAACCCGAAACCGGGUGAGCAAUCCAUGACCAGGUUGAAGGGAUGGUAAAACAUCCUGGAGGACCGAACCCACGCACCGUGCAACAUGCGGGGAUGAGUUGUGGAUAGCGGAGAAAUUCCUAUCGAACUCGGUAAUAGCUGGUUCUCCUCGAAAUAGCUUUAGGGCUAGCUGUAUGCGUUCCCCUCAGGGGUAGAGCACUGGAUGCGGCUGGGGUCCCUCGGGAUACCCACUGCAAUCAAACUCCGAAUACUGAGGAUUAAAAGCAUGCAAGUUAGGCUGCGGGGGCUAAGCUUCGUAGCCAAAAGGGAAACAGCCCAGAUCAUCAGUUAAGGUCCCUAAAUCAAUACUAAGUGUAAAACGUGGUGGAGAUUCUUAUACAACCAGGAGGUUGGCUUAGAAGCAGCCAUCCUUUAAAGA
rnacentral:rRNA from 1 species